AUUUCGGCUCAAUUUCGGGAACAUGUACACUAAAGCUGCAAAGCAUAGGGAAGAUUAGCACAGCCCCUGUAGAAGAGUGAAGUGCAAUUCAUGAGGUGUUUCAUGUUUUA
ensembl:snRNA U6 U6 spliceosomal RNA